rnacentral:rRNA from 1 species
UACGUAGGGUGCAGGCGUUAAUCGGAAUUACUGGGCGUAAAGCGUGCGCAGGCGGUUUCUUAAGUCAGAUGUGAAAGCCCCGGGCUUAACCUGGGAACUGCGUUUGAAACUGGGAGACUUGAGUGUGGCAGAGGGGGGUGGAAUUCCACGUGUAGCAGUGAAAUGCGUAGAUAUGUGGAGGAACACCGAUGGCGAAGGCAGGUCUCUGGGCUGACACUGACGCUCAUGCACGAAAGCGUGGGGAGCAAACAGG